AACGAACGCUGGCGGCAGGCCUAACACAUGCAAGUCGAACGCUGUAGCAAUACAGAGUGGCGCACGGGAGAGUAACGCGUGGGAACCUACCUUUUGGUUCGGGAUAACGUCGGGAAACUGACGCUAAUACCGGAUACGCCCUUCGGGGGAAAGAUUUAUCGCCAUUAGAUGGGCCCGCGUUAGAUUAGCUUGUUGGUGAGGUAACGGCUCACCAAGGCUACGAUCUAUAGCUGGUCUAAGAGGAUGAUCAGCCUCACUGGGACUGAGACACGGCCCAGACUCCUACGGGAGGCAGCAGUGGGGAAUAUUGGACAAUGGGGGCAACCCUGAUCCAGCCAUGCCGCGUGAAUGAUGAAGGCCUUCGGGUUGUAAAGUUCUUUUGGUGGGGAAGAUAAUGACGGUACCCGCAGAAUAAGCUCCGGCUAACUUCGUGCCAGCCGCCGCCGUAAUAC
rnacentral:rRNA from 1 species